rnacentral:rRNA from 1 species
UACGUAGGGUGCAAGCGUUGUCCGGAAUUAUUGGGCGUAAAGAGCUCGUAGGCGGUCUGUCGCGUCGGCUGUGAAAACCCGGGGCUCAACCCCGGGCCUGCAGUCGAUACGGGCAGACUAGAGCGCGGUAGGGGAGACUGGAAUUCCUGGUGUAGCGGUGAAAUGCGCAGAUAUCAGGAGGAACACCGGUGGCGAAGGCGGGUCUCUGGGCCGUAACUGACGCUGAGGAGCGAAAGCGUGGGGAGCGAACAGG